UUUCACUGGGUUUUCACCCACGUCUCCCCACCCGUGGAACAAAACCAGUCGUCUCAGUCUUCUCGGCUCGAAAGAAAAAGGAGGAGCGGGCGAGAGCGGCGGCGGUGCCGACGCCGACAGGGAAGAACUAGGCGACGGCGAGGGGACGGAGAGGGCGAUCUCUCUCCUCCACUGAAGACCGGGUGCUGCGCCAUCCUUCUACCUCGCCCCCACUCUCCCCAAGUCAGCAGCCGAUCUGCGACCCUCUUCUUCCAUCCCCGGCGCGAGCUCGGCGGCCGCACCAACCUACUCCGGUGGCCCUCCCCAACGUUUCUAUGCCGGCCAGCUUCACCGCCUCACAGCCGCAGCAAGACCCCGCUUGGGGCAGCAUCGUGAAGACUAAGUGCAUCAAUCACUACGGAAGCGACAUCGGCGAGAUUACAGUCGUUUGUUCUAUACAGCAAUAAUUUGAUCAUGGUCGGAAAUAUAAUAAUAUUGUACAUCGGUGAUUGUUGAUUAGGGUCGUUUUUUGACUUCUAAAUAUUCAGAAUUCAUGUUAUAGUUUGAUAUUUUUUCUUCUAAAAUAUCAACUUGCAGCAAGCUUCUCAUAUAAUGUUUUGUUCUGACGCAACAAAAAUACUGUUAUGCGGAUUUGGUGCUUGGAUGUAUGAAAUUUAUAGCAAGUUUGUUGUGUGUGUGAUGUUC